AAAGCAGAUCACCUUAUCGUCAUCCGCCAUAGGCAGAUGGAGGAAAGUCCGGACACCGUAGCACAGUAUAGCGGGUAACGCCCGUCCGUCGCGAGAUGAGGACAAGUGCAACAGAAAGAAUGUACAGGUAAUGCUGUAGUGAAAUCAGGUAAACUCUAUACGGUGCAACGCCACGUAAACCAGCUUUUGAGGGUUGUGCGCCCGAUGUUGGAGGGUAGGCGGUUAGAGCUAAUAAGUAAUUAUUAGUCUAGAUAAAUGAUAAGGGUUCACCUUUGGUGGAAACAGAAUCCGGCUUAUGAUCUGCUUUUUUU
rnacentral:RNase_P_RNA from 1 species